CCUGUUGAUGUCCUGACGCCGUGGGUGCGUGAGCGACGCCUGAAAGUGCUAACAAUUCCCGAAAAAGCUCAGACAUGAAGUUGCUACCACGAUCGGAAGUGAUGUGCGCUGGCAUACCAAAUACUGUUAAAAUACGCCGAUUCGGUUGGCGGAAGUGCUGGAGCAACAUCGAUCGCCCAGACCAUUCUUGGAGGAACCGUGGGAUUCGUCUGCAACUGCCCCGCCGGUGCCGUUGCCGGUGUAUUCUGCGCCAGACAUGCCGGACACGAAGCACAGUUGCCAGUACUCCUAGGUGAGCUGCUAAUGGAGAGUCGUGGUUAUCCCGAAGGAAUUCGAAACGCCG